GAUGAACGCUGGCGGCGUGCCUAAUACAUGCAAGUCGAGCGAACAGAUGAGGAGCUUGCUCCUCUGACGUUAGCGGCGGACGGGUGAGUAACACGUGGAUAACCUACCUAUAAGACUGGGAUAACUUCGGGAAACCGGAGCUAAUACCGGAUAAUAUAUUGAACCGCAUGGUUCAAUAGUGAAAGACGGUUUUGCUGUCACUUAUAGAUGGAUCCGCGCCGCAUUAGCUAGUUGGUAAGGUAACGGCUUACCAAGGCAACGAUGCGUAGCCGACCUGAGAGGGUGAUCGGCCACACUGGAACUGAGACACGGUCCAGACUCCUACGGGAGGCAGCAGUAGGGAAUCUUCCGCAAUGGGCGAAAGCUUGACGGAGCAACGCCGCGUGAGUGAUGAAGGUCUUCGGAUCGUAAAACUCUGUUAUUAGGGAAGAACAAAUGCGUAAGUAACUAUGCACGUCUUGACGGUACCUAAUCAGAAAGCCACGGCUAACUACGUG
rnacentral:rRNA from 1 species